CGCGUAGGAACCUACCUAUUAGUUUGGGAUAGCCAUUGGAAACGAUGAUUAAUACCGGAUACGCCCUACGGGGGAAAGGGGGCUUCGGCUCUCGCUAUUAGAUGGGCCUGCGUAAGAUUAGCUAGUUGGUGAGGUAAUGGCUCACCAAGGCGACGAUCUUUAGCUGGUCUGAGAGGAUGAUCAGCCACACUGGAACUGAGACACGGUCCAGACUCCUACGGGAGGCAGCAGUGGGGAAUAUUGCACAAUGGGCGCAAGCCUGAUGCAGCCAUGCCGCGUGUGUGAAGAAGGCUCUAGGGU
rnacentral:rRNA from 1 species